rnacentral:rRNA from 1 species
GUCGCCGGAUAAAAGACGCUUCGGUGUCACUGGUGGAUGGACCCGCGCUGCAUUAGUUAGUUGGUGGGGUAACGGCCUACCAAGACCGUGAUGCAUAGCCGACCUGAGAGGGUGAUCGGCCACACUGGGACUGAGACACGGCCCAGACUCCUACGGGAGGCAGCAGUAGGGAAUCUUCGGCAAUGGACGGAAGUCGGACC